rnacentral:rRNA from 1 species
GCAUAUCAAUAAGCGGAGGAAAAGAAACCAACAGGGAUUGCCCCAGUAGCGGCGAGUGAAGCGGCAAGAGCUCAGAUUUGAAAUCGUGUUUCGGCACGAGUUGUAGAGUGUAGGCGGGAGUCUCUGUGGAGCGCGGUGUCCAAGUCCCUUGGAACAGGAUGCCUGAGAGGGUGAGAGCCCCGUAGGGUGCUGCGCGAAGCUUUUGAGGCCCUGCUGACGAGUCGAGUUGUUUGGGAAUGCAGCUCCAAGCGGGUGGUAAAUUCCAUCUAAGGCUAAAUAUUGGCGAGAGACCGAUAGCGAACAAGUACUGUGAAGGAAAGAUGAAAAGCACUUUGAAAAGAGAGUGAAACAGCACGUGAAAUUGUUGAAAGGGAAGGGUAUUGGGCUCGACAUGGGGGGUGCGCACCGCUGUCUCUUGUAGGCGGCGCUCUGGGCGCCCUCUGGGCCAGCAUCGGUUCCUGCUGCGGGAGAAGGGGCUCCGGAAAGUGGCUCUUCGGAGUGUUAUAGCCGGGGCCAGAUGCCGCGUGUGGGGACCGAGGACUGCGGCUUCUGUCUCGGAUGCUGGCAUAACGGCGCAAUACCGCCCGUCUU